rnacentral:rRNA from 1 species
UAGCACAGAGAGCUUGCUCUCGGGUGACGAGUGGCGGACGGGUGAGUAAUGUCUGGGGAUCUGCCCGAUAGAGGGGGAUAACCACUGGAAACGGUGGCUAAUACCGCAUAACGUCGCAAGACCAAAGAGGGGGACCUUCGGGCCUCUCACUAUCGGAUGAACCCAGAUGGGAUUAGCUAGUAGGCGGGGUAAUGGCCCACCUAGGCGACGAUCCCUAGCUGGUCUGAGAGGAUGACCAGCCACACUGGAACUGAGACACGGUCCAGACUCCUACGGGAGGCAGCAGUGGGGAAUAUUGCACAAUGGGCGCAAGCCUGAUGCAGCCAUGCCGCGUGUAUGAAGAAGGCCUUCGGGUUGUAAAGUACUUUCAGCGGGGAGGAAGGCGACGCGGUUAAUAACCGCGUCGAUUGACGUUACCCGCAGAAGAAGCACCGGCUAACUCCGUGCCAGCAGCCGCGGUAAUACGGAGGGUGCAAGCGUUAAUCGGAAUUACUGGGCGUAAAGCGCACGCAGGCGGUCUGUUAAGUCAGAUGUGAAAUCCCCGGGCUUAACC